rnacentral:rRNA from 1 species
CCUACGGGAGGCAGCAGUGGGGAAUAUUUGACAAUGGGGGGAACCCUGAUGGUGCGACGCCGCGUGGGGGAAUGAAGGUCUUCGGAUUGUAAACCCCUGUCAUGUGGGAGCAAAUUAAAAAGAUAGUACCACAAGAGGAAGAGACGGCUAACUCUGUGCCAGCAGCCGCGGUAAUACAGAGGUCUCAAGCGUUGUUCGGAAUCACUGGGCGUAAAGCGUGCGUAGGCUGUUUCGUAAGUCGUGUGUGAAAGGCGCGGGCUCAACCCGCGGACGGCACAUGAUACUGCGAGACUAGAGUAGUGGAGGGGGAACCGGAAUUCUCGGUGUAGCAGUGAAAUGCGUAGAUAUCGAGAGGAACACUCGUGGCGAAGGCGGGUUCCUGGACAUUAACUGACGCUGAGGCACGAAGGCCAGGGGAGCGAAAGGGAUUAGAUACCCGAGUAGUC